ensembl:lncRNA snaclec bitiscetin subunit beta-like
CUGCUUAAAGCACAAAGCCUGCUGUGUUUGACUACACAGCCACUGGAGUUGGUAGCAUUAAAUUCACAGUGCUGUGCUUUGAGUUACCUUGCAGAAUGAAAGACUACAUAUAUAAAACAAACUCUAUUCAUUUUUGACUCACCCUUCACUUUUCCACAGGAGAUAGUAUUAAUAUUAAAUUCCACUUCUCCCCAGGAACAGUAUCAUUUCCAUUCUGUUGUCAAAUAUCCUAGCAACACAGGAGUAGGGGGAAAGAGAAGGGGAGCAGGGGGAGAUAGAAAGUGUGACAGAGAGCUCUAGAAACUGAUGCAAGUGUUUUGCACAACCAUGGCCAUUGCCCUGCUUUUUUGGAUGACCACAUCUUUGCUGUUUUGCAAUGCAACUGACUGCUCUGACUCUCCCAGUGAAAUUCCUGCCCAGCCUUCAAAAACUAUUCAUGGGGCUGUUGAAAGCUAGUCUGCUGAUGAGUAGCAUCGUGCAUCCUAACAUCAGGCAGUGGUUUUGGGAAGCAGAACAUGCCCAUGCUAUGAGAACCAGACAGCAAACAGAUAUCUUCAUGAAGGCAGAAAGAAUCCAUCUAAAUCCUAUGAAAAUUCUUUGUAAUUCAAGCAAAACAGCUUCAGCUGUGCUGCUAAAUAGAGGGGAGAAGUUUCAGAUAAGUCUUAAUGCAAUGGAAUUUCAAUGUCUAACUGGCUUUCAUCGGUUGUUGUAGGCUGCAAAGUCUGCUGAAGAUCUGGAAAAUCUAAAAAACACAUUUUUAGGUCACAGGCAGCAGCACCACCAGGUCUCAUGACAAUGACCUAUCUGUUUCUUUUUCUCCUUUUUGGAACCCUGGCUCUCUCCGGCUCAGAAGGUGCUGGCAACUCCACAGCCAAGCAUCGCUAUGCUCGGUUCUUGUUUGAUGUUUUUGACAGACCUAAGCCUGAAUAUAACAUAAUUCCUAACCCACCUCAACAAGACUCAUCUGCAAAACAGAUCUGUCGAAGUCGGUGCCAGAAGGGCUGGAUUAGUUACAAAGGCCACUGUUAUAUGUUUGUUCAAGAGAGAAUGACAUGGAUGGAAGCUGAGAAAAUGUGUUCGGCUAAAAGUGCAGGAGGUCACCUAACCAGCAUUACCAGUGCAGAACAGAAUGAAUUCCUUCAUAAACUUUCUCAGGGACAAAAGGUUGCCCAGUUCUGGACAGGAGGAACUUACCAAAAGGGUUCGUUGUUGAAAUGGAGUGAUGGAUCUCUGAUAACCUUUGUCCAGAGGCCUCUGACAUCCAUUUUCCAUGCUGUUGGAGGACUAAUUAACAGCCUGUUUAACAUAAAACUUUGCCUGAUGGUCAAUAUUGGAGAUAAGCAACUUCUCUAAAUUUAAUAUGGGUACCCAGACCCUGGAGUCUGUGCAGGGGAGAUGAUAGGACACAGCAAGGUGGGGAUGAGAGGACCUCCAAAGAUACUCAUCAGCUGUGAGGACAUGUAUCUCUAAAAACACCUUCAUAAGGAGCAGAGGAAGCAUAUGAGGUGAGAGGAAGAAGGCUGAGGAGGAACAAAAAACAAUUCUCAUCCAAACUCACUAUAAAGCAAAGGAAACCUCUGCAGUUCCACCAUGGUCACUGAGCUGGUAAGUGCUAGGUCUGGGGACAAAUCGAGAGCGAAGGACUAUCACUGCUCCCUCGUAUGUAUUUCCAAAGUGGAUUUAUACAUAGUUGGAUUCUAGCUCUGAAUCAAUGACAAAAGUUAAGAGUGUUUCCUGCUCUCACUCUGGUAGUAACCAAUUAUUUCCUUCAGGCACCUACCAAAUGUGGCACACACAGCAUUACUCUUCACUCAUCCAUUCCAGCAGAUCUUUUGCUGGAGUGGGUAGGAAACAGUUCCAAACAAGGGGCAAAAGUCCCUGCAAAGCCAUCUGCAGUCACACGGGCUUUCAGCCAAUUUUUAUGCAGCUGAUUGUUGGCUAGUUUGCAGAAUUUCCAGAUGUUUGAUUGAAUUUAUUUUUUCCCCCUGCUCUCCAGCUGAUGGAUGUGCAUGCCUGCCAGAUGGUCUCAAGCUGGGGCUGGUUAUCUUGCCUCUCUGUUGUUUCUCCAGCAAUUAAAUUG